rnacentral:tRNA from 14 species
GUAUGGCCGAGUGGUCUAAGGCGGUAGAUUCAAGAUCUAUUAGAUUUUUCUUCAUGGGUUCGAAU